GAUUCUGGCUCAGGAUGAACGCUGGCGGCGUGCCUAACACAUGCAAGUCGAACGGAGUAAUUAAGCGGAAGUUUCGGAUGGAAGCAUAGUACUUAGUGGCGGACGGGUGAGUAACGCGUGGGCAACCUGCCCUGUACCGGGGGAUAACACUUAGAAAUAGGUGCUAAUACCGCAUAAGCGCACAGCUUCGCAUGAAGGUGUGUGAAAAACUCCGGUGGUACAGGAUGGACCCGCGUCUGAUUAGCUAGUUGGUGGGGUAGAGGCCUACCAAGGCGACGAUCAGUAGCCGGCCUGAGAGGGUGACCGGCCACAUUGGGACUGAGACACGGCCCAAACUCCUACGGGAGGCAGCAGUGGGGAAUAUUGCACAAUGGGGGAAACCCUGAUGCCAGCGACGCCGCGUGAGUGAAGAAGUAUUUCGGUAUGUAAAGCUCUAUCAGCAGGGAAGAAAAUGACGGUACCUGACUAAGAAGCCCCGGCUAACUACGUGCCAGCCGCCGC
rnacentral:rRNA from 1 species